AUCGAACGCUGGCGGCAGGCCUAACACAUGCAAGUCGAACGAGUGGCGGACGGGUGAGUAAUGUCUGGGACACUGCCCGAUGGAGGGGGAUCACUACUGGCAACGGUAGCUAAUACCGCAUACCAUCGGAUGUGCCCAGAUGGGCUUAGCUAGUAGGUGGGGUAACGGCUCACCUAGGCGACGAUCCCUACCUGGUCUGAGAGGAUGACCAGCCACACUGGAAGUGGGACACGGUCAAGACUACUACGAGAGGGAGCAGUGGGGAAUAGUGGACAAUGGGGGCAAGCCUGGUGCAGCCAGGGCACGUGUAUGGCGAAGGCCUUCGGGUUGUAAAGUACGUUCAGCGAGGAGGCGUUACUCGCAGAAGAAGCACCGGCUAACUCCGUGCCAGCAGCCGCGGUAAUAC
rnacentral:rRNA from 1 species